rnacentral:rRNA from 1 species
AGGGUUUGAUCAUGGCUCAGGACGAACGCUGGCGGCGUGCUUAACACAUGCAAGUCAAGGAGAACGGAUCCUUCGGGAUACUAUUAAACUGGCGAACGGGUGAGUAACGCGUAGGCAACCUGCCUUGGAGAUUGGGAUAACCCCGGGAAACCGGAGCUAAUACCAAAUAAUGCAGCGGAUCCUUCGGGAUAUGUUGUUAAAGUGGGCUUCGGCUCACACUUCAAGAUGGGCCUGCGUCCGAUUAGCUUGUUGGUGAGGUAAUGGCUCACCAAGGCGAUGAUCGGUAGCUGGUCUGAGAGGAUGAUCAGCCACACUGGGAUUGAGAUACGGCCCAGACUCCUACGGGAGGCAGCAGUGGGGAAUUUUGCGCAAUGGACGAAAGUCUGACGCAGCAACGCCGCGUGAUCGAUGAAGCUUCUAGGAGUGUAAAGAUCUGUCGUGAGGGAAGAAAAAUCUGGAUGUAAAUAAUGUUCAGACGUGACGGUACCUCACAAGAAAGCACCGGCUAACUUCGUGCCAGCAGCCGCGGUAAUACGAGGGGUGCUAGCGUUGUCCGGAAUUACUGGGCGUAAAGGGUUCGUAGGCGUCUUGCCAAGUUGAUCGUUAAAGCCACCGGCUUA